UACGGAGGGUGCGAGCGUUGUCCGGAAUCACUGGGCGUAAAGGGUGCGUAGGCUGCGCGGAAAGUUGGGUGUGAAAUCCCUCGGCUCAACCGAGGAACUGCGCCCAAAACUGCCGUGCUCGAGGGAGACAGAGGUGAGCGGAACUUAGGGUGGAGCGGUGAAAUGCGUUGAUAUCCUAAGGAACACCGGUGGCGAAAGCGGCUCACUGGGUCUCUUCUGACGCUGAGGCACGAAAGCUAGGGUAGCGAACGGG
rnacentral:rRNA from 1 species